AAGAGGCAGUUCAUUGUUAGCCAGCCGAGAACAAUAUUACCUGCAAGUAAGACGCAAUAAGCCAGCUUCCAAUUUCAGACAUAAUUUGCUAGAAGAUGAGAAAAUUUCAAAUCUUCAAAACAAAAGGAAAUAUAUAGAGAUUCUCUUUUUAAUUAUGGAAUAUAGGAGGGACACGUCAUUGUUUCAUCUCACGGAGUACAUGUGAAAUAUAGGCAAGCUAUGGCAUGCACCGGGUGUGACGACCCAAAGGGUCAUCAGUUGCUUUUCGCUGAAUUCUGUGCUUCCGGGGUCUUGAAAAUCUUAUUUAGAGUCUCCUCGAUUUGUGUGAGCAGUCCGGGCGCGUAGCUGAAAAGCUUAAAUUUGAAAUUUUAUUAAAAUUGUUAAGUUUUUUACUUUAAAAUGAAUAAAUUUGACUCCGGUCAAUGGGAAAACGGACCCGGACCUUUGAUUUGCCGGUCCCAGAGGGUCCGUAGGAAAAUAUGGAACUUGAGCGUAUGCCCGGAAUCGAAUUCCGAGGUCCCAAACUCGAGAAAUGAAUUUUUAAGUGAAAUUAUUCUCUAAAAAUGUUUAAGGAAAAAUUGAAAUGAAAACUGAUUAGAAAGCUAUGGUAUCGGGCCCGUAUUUUGGUUUCGGCACCCGUUACAUGUCUCAUAUAUGAUUUGACUCAUUCCUAUGAAAUUUGGUUAGAAACGCACAUCAUUUUACGUAAUCCGGACUAUAUUGGAAAAUUUGAUGUUUAAAAGAGUUUUGAGAAAUUCCAUUGAUCUUGAGGUUUAAUUCGAUGUUCAUGAUGUUAUUUUGGUGAUUUGAUUACAUGAAUAGGUCAAUAGGAUAUUUUUGAGGUUGUGUAUAUACUUGGAUUGAAGUUUCGAGGGCUCGGGUGAGUUUUCGGACAAGUUCUGGGAUGCCUUCGAAUAGGUAUGUAGGAUAUUUUUGAGGUUGUGUAUAUACUUGGAUUGAAGUUUCGAGGGCCCGGGUGAAGUUUCAUUGAUUGUUUUUUGGUGGCCUAAGAAUCUGCGGUGCCCCUCAACUACUCUUGCCGUAUUACC
rnacentral:lncRNA from 1 species